CAACGGUCGAGAAGAGACUGAUCCCCGUCUCUGGUGUCUGCUGAUUUAAAUUGAUGGGCUGACGGAAAUAUUGUUGUGCGGAUUUAACGUUACACUUUAAACACGAAAGAGCCUGAACCGCAACAAUGUCACAAGUUGCCUUACAUCGAUUAUAUUAAACCUGGAAAAUAUUGGAGAAGAUCAAUUGAGUUUUCAGGAGCACAUUACUGUGAUAAAUGCUGAACUACGUAAAAGACAACCCGACUACACCAACAUAAAAAAUCGAAUGAGAUGCACUCUUUUUAAAAGAGUCGAUUUAAUGACAAAAUCAACACGAGAGGUCAUGGACAUGUUCCCAUUUCUUCGGGUUCCACAACUUCUGCUGCAUGAAGUGAAGAUGCGGUUUGGGAAGGACCUUCAUCUUAAUCUAGAGACUGCUCUUCAAAUUCUGGCCCCAAACAUCUUAAAUGUGGCUAGACAUGGAAGUCAGAGGGAUGUGCUGAACAGUUUACUUCAGCAAAUUGACUCAAAUACAAAAAGAAUCAUUAAAGCCAACUCCGACUAUAGUUUUUCAUGAAGCUUCAAACCCCCUCCAUGCAAAAAGAGCCAGCAUCAAUAUGGAGGGUGUCAACAUUGUGAGCGCAGAAAUGGAUGUGGUGGCAAUGGAGUGCCUCUUUGCUGCUUAUUUCGUAUUCAGUGUGGAAUACCCCAAGCACAUCACUCACAUGAUGAAUUUUGUUGAGCACUACCUGUUUAAACUCUCCAGCAGCCAAAAAAAACUGUCUGUCCCAGUGCUCAAAAUGUAUAAUCAAUUAUCAUAAUACUUUGAUAUGUCAUGAAUAGUGCUAAUGUAAAUAUGUGGUGAUUGAUGUUAUUCUGAAAUGCUGAUCUGAAUUUUAAUCUAUGUAUUCACAUUCUUUAUGAGUGAUAUUAAUAUGAAUUUGUAUAUUUGAAGUACUUCUAUAUCUGUAUAUUUCCAUUGUGAGUUAUAUUAAUAUGUAUUUGUAGUUUUGAGGGACUUGAUG